CCCACAGCCCGCCCAAGGCGGGAUCGGUCGCGGAAGAGGUCGGCGGCCGUCGGUGCCGCCUUUUGAGAUGAUACCGCUGCUUACGGGUGCUGUGCCCUCUCGGAACAGACAGCCGGUGCUCCUCGGGGCGGCAGUCCUCUUACCUCAGUGAGACUUUGUGGCACAACCCUAUAGCAUACCUGUGAUCGCAGCGCACCAUUGAGGAACUCAUUAGCCAUCUGAUCAUCCUGUACAAGGCACACUGGUCUUCAUUGAAAUUUGUGAGGCAAGAUCCUUUGACUACUGUGCAAUCCACCCAUGCAGAAGAUGUCCAAAGCAUAAGGCUUUUGAGAACACAUCCCUGUAAUGGGUUGUUUGAUUUAUAGUUACAUAGUCCUGAUGAGCAUCCAGUUUUAUGCCUGGCCUCCUGUCCUCUUAAGAGGUGUAGCUAUUACAGUGCUUGAACACUAAAUGUUCCAGUGAAAAAAAACUUCUGUUAUGGAUUAAUCAUUGUAAAGUCAAGCACCAGAACACUAGGAAAUGCAUAGAGAAUCAUUUGUA